AUUGAAUUCAACGAAGAAAAAGUCACUCGUAAAAACUGAACAAACAAAGCAUGGAGCGGAUUUAAAAUAUUACCUACCAACGCAUGAAUUCCUUCAACCCUACUAAAUAGUAACAGCCACAUUUCAAGUUUGAAAAUCACUAAACCAAAUUCAAUUGUCGUAUUGAAUCGUUUCGAAAAGAGCAUCAAAUCUAGUAGAAUUUUGGCUAUAUCGAGGACAAUUAAUACAAUUGGGAAACGGAAACUGAUAUUUUGGACUUUCUCCGGCAGUUCGAUCUGUUUAGCACUGUUUGGAUUCAAAGUCAUGGAUUUUAUACGUCAUUAGAUUAAUUUACCUAUUACUUGAUCGAUUACGCGUUACGCAAUCGGUGGAAUACCUUGGUACAUCUGUGGUGAACUUUAUCCUCAAAAAAUACGAGGAAUGGCCAGCGGAAUUUCUGCAACUACUGACUAUUUAAUGAUAUUCAUACUAUAUUGAUGAAAACCUAUUUCAAAAUGGAAGCGUCAUCUAACUUACCAUAUUUGUUCUUAGGUAUGGCUACUUUGUAUUAGCCAAAACGGAAAAGAAAUGCUUGCAGAAGAGAUAGAAAAAGUCGUUAAAAAUAAGAGAAAAAUCAUCUAUGAUAAAAAGUGAAGUAUUCAGUUUAUGGUAAAAUGCAAAAAUCAUUUUUAAACGACAAUAAGUGAUAUUUUUUAGACGAUAAAAACAAAUUAUGAAUAUAUUCGACACACGUGUUACCAAAGAUAUUCUACAUCGUUGAAGGAACAUUUUAAAAGGAAAUCUUCGGUAGGUAAUUAAACUCGCAAAAUGAGUUACCAAAUUGACAUAAAUUUCAAUUUUAGUCAAAAUAAAUAGGUAUGUUAUGAUUUUGAAAAAGAUUUUAAUGAUUGUUCAAGGUUUGAAUUCACUGCCUCCUGAUACCUAUUAUGUUUUCAUGCGAUUUUUAUCUGAAUAACGAAGUACAUAAUCUGCAUUUCCUUUUGUAUUUUCAAAAUUAUUCUACAAAUGAAAACACACUCGAGAAUUUUCAACGUGAAAAAUUACCACCAUGCAGCUUGUAUUUCAACUGUACGUUACAGUAUAAACUUAUCAUGAGAGGAUGCAUUCUCUCUAAAAUAAAAAUGAAAGAGAAUUAUCUGCUGUGAAAUUACGUAGUACUUUAGAUAUUGACGAUCCGUGCCUUACAUUAAUCUUCAAAUAUAAAUGUCAUACGCUCAA